CUGCUGCCUUCCGUAGGAGUCUGGGCCGUGUCUCAGUCCCAAUGUGGCCGUUCACCCUCUCAGGCCGGCUACGCAUCAUCGCCUUGGUGAGCCUCUACCUCUCCAACUAGCUAAUGCGCCGUAAGGCCAUCCCUCUGUGAUGUUCCCCAUCUUUCAUGAACCGAAGAUGUCUUCCGUUCACCUAUCCGGUAUUAGCUCUCGUUUCCCAGAGUUAUCCCAGGCAUAGGGGCAGGUUCCUUACGUCUUACU
rnacentral:rRNA from 1 species